rnacentral:lncRNA from 1 species
GCUAUACCCAGCCCAGGUCUUAACCGAGGCAAAGUUCCAUUCAAUUGCGGUAGGGGUAAGCGAUAUUGCGUACCUAGCCAACCACCAAAACGUUGCCCUCCUUACAAGCGUAAUUGUGGGCGGCGCCUUUAAGAUUAGAAGCAAGCAAAGUUGAGUGCUUAAAAGUAUGGAGAGCUUCUGCUGUCUUUAUCAAUAUGUAAAAUGAUGAGAACUAUUUAUGUGCGGAAAAUAAAUAAAAUAUCUCUAAGAACAUUACUAGAGUUCGGGUCCAUGGUAGCUAUGACUUCUAGAUUGUGUACUAGACGACCACUACGUAAAUGCAUGCAAAAACUAAUCAUGAGACUGAGAUCACAAAAUAACACUUGCAAGUAAAACGCAAAAUAAAAUUAUAGCUAAUAAAAUAAAAUAAAGAAAAUAAUUUUUUUUUAAUUAUUAUUAUCUUGGAAACUAAGUAAUGACAUAUUAAACCAGGAAAAUGCGCAAGCAAGCAGUGUAAGUCCUCUAAAUGCACACAAGUAAUCCAAACAUAAUGUUUCAAUUUUCCCACUAAUUUAACCAAGCUCCACAAUUAAUUAAGAGGAUUAGAUCUUCAAUGCUAAACAAGCUCAAAAUUAAGGUAAUUCAAUGUAAAGGCGGGCUAUAUAAUUUAGUUAUGGGCAAGCACAAAGAAUAAUAUCAAUGCUAAAUAUUGGUUAACAAGUUUAAAAGCAUACCAGGAAUGAUGAUUUUCAAUGGGUAAAAAUUCUGACUGUAUGAUGUGGCAGUGAAGGAUUACGUGGCAGCUGACAUGGUAGGAUAUGCUGGCGUGGCAGGAUACGCUGGCGUGGCGGGAUACGUUGCCUUGGCGGGAUCUGAUGACAUGGCAAGAACUGAUGUCGUGGCAGAUGACGUGGUGCUGACGUGGCUAGGGUAAUUAUUUUACCAGCUUCUGUUUCCUUCUCCUCUAUAUCCUUAGGUGUUGUUGCUGGCGGCGCACGCGUGACUGCUGAAGGCGAGGACCACCGCAGUCUGUUGAAGAUGGUGGUUGCCGCCGGUCGGUUCUACUGCUCUGUCGGUCGCUAAUGGUGGGAGGCGAUGAUGGUGUUGUGGACGGUUGCUGGCGCUGAGAAGGACGACACUGGCUGAGGCGCUGCCUUUGCUACUGUAAACCCGAAUCGAUGUUGGCUGUGAUGGGUGUUGUGGGUAGCGGCGUCUGGUGGUUUGUGGUUCUGCUUUGGCUGCUGAAGCCGCAGGUCUGUUGUGGUUCUGUGAAGGCGCCGCUGAAAUGGUUUGGUGUGAUCUAUCAGCGGCGUGGAGAAUGGCCUCCUGUAGGAGAAUCUGUCAUCGUGGGUCUUGGUGUGACCGGCGUUGAGGCAGAGUUUCCGGUCGAUGUUGAUGCAUGCUGUAAUCGACGUCUUCCAGAUUUGUUGAAUAUUGCAGCAGAGGGGAAGAUGAACAGUGUUUUUUGUGAUCAGAACAGUAGGUGUUUUUUUUUUUUGAACAGUGAAUUUUUUUUUUUUAAGAUCAACUGGAUCUAGGGUUUAGCAUAACAUUGUAGGUCAUUUAAUUGUAAGAACAAUUAAAACCCUAGCUCUAAUACCAAAUUUGAUGCGGAACAAUAAAUAAUAAAAUUAGAGCAAGCACAUAAAGAAGCUGUAGAAAAGAAAGAAGCUGAAGAAGAGAAGAAAGGGGAUUGGAGUUAUGCAAAGUCUAUAAUACUUUCAUUAAUCAUCAAAAAUUGUCUCUCAAGAUGACAGAAGAACAUAUAAAUAGUAAACCCUAAAACAUCCCGUUAUUGGGCUCGGCCCAUCAAAUCAAACUAUUUAGCAUAAAUAAUAAAAUAACAAUGAGCAGGCCCAAAUGAGCUAAAUAAAUAAAAUAACAAUGAAAUAGGCCCAAAUAGGCUUAGUCUCCCAACCAAAGCGUGACAGGUUGGGCCAUCCUAUAUCUUCUCUGUCCAUAUACUCGUGUAGUUUAUGGUGGGGUCUGGUGUCCCCACCACCAGCUUUUUUCAUGCACACAACUUUUUGUUAUAAAACUAAUGAGUCAACCUUUACCUUUACUUCCAGCAUUUUAAUUAACUAGAGAUAAUCAUUUCAUGUUAUAUGUUAUUUAAUUAAUCUGUCGUGGGCUAUCUUAUAAAAAAAUGAUUUUCAAAGGUGGUAACUCCAUUUAAAAGGUAAGAAGAAAACUAGGUCCUUUUCAAAGUCAUUGUAAGACCUAAUAUUGCUUGGGAUUUUCCGAAGGCUUUGUAGAAAAAGCCCUUAAUUCUAUUAAUUAAAAACUUUCACCAUUUAUUUUGAUACUAGUUUAAUAAUUGCCAUGAUUCAAUUCGCUGUUAUCUUAACAAGCUAACGUUUAUAUAUAUACGUGUGUGGAAAUCUUUCAGCUGUACACAGCCCACCUCUUAACCCUGGCAAAGUUCCAUUCAAUUGCGGUAGGGGUCAACGAUAUUGCGUACCUAGCCAACCACCAACAUCAACACCAUGUCUUCCUUACAAGCGUAAUUGUGGGCGGCGCCUUUAAGAUUAGAAGCAAGCAAAGUUGAGUGCUUAGAAGUAUGGAGAGCUUCUGCUGUCUUUAUCAAUAUGUAAAAUGAUGAGAACUAUUUAUGUGCGGAAAAUAAAUAAAGUUGAGUAUAUAAGGAUCCAGCUAGGCGAUAUUUAUGGAGUAACGUCGCCUACAAGUCUACAAUGGUACUAAGGA